GACAGAGGGUGCAAGCGUUGUUCGGAAUUACUGGGCGUAAAGCGCGUGUAGGCGGCUAUGCAAGUCGGGCGUGAAAUCCCUCGGCUCAACCGAGGAAGUGCACUCGAAACUGCGUAGCUAGAGUCUCGGAGAGGAAGGUGGAAUACUUGGUGUAGAGGUGAAAUUCGUAGAUAUCAAGUGGAACACCGGUGGCGAAGGCGGCCUUCUGGACGAUGACUGACGCUGAGACGCGAAAGCGUGGGGAGCAAACAGG
rnacentral:rRNA from 1 species